rnacentral:rRNA from 1 species
AUUGAACGCUGGCGGCAGGCCUAACACAUGCAAGUCGAGCGGGGUUUUCGGACCUAGCGGCGGACGGGUGAGUAAUGCGUAGGAAGCUACCCGAUAGAGGGGGAUACCAGUUGGAAACGACUGUUAAUACCGCAUAAUGUCUACGGACCCAAGUGUGGGACCUUCGGGCCACAUGCUAUCGGAUGCGCCUACGUGGGAUUAGCUAGUUGGUGGGGUAAUGGCUCACCAAGGCGACGAUCCCUAGCUGGUUUGAGAGGAUGAUCAGCCACACUGGAACUGAUACACAGGCCAGACUCCUACGGGAGGCAGCAGUGGGGAAUAUUGGACAAGGGGCGCAAGCCUGAUCCAGCCAGGCCGCAUGUGUGAAGAAGGCCUUCGGGUUGUAAAGCACUUUCAGUAGGGAGGAAGGGGGUUGUGUUAAUAGCACAGCAUUUUGACGUUACCUACAGAAGAAGCACCGGCUAACUCUGUGCCAGCAGCCGCGGUAAUAC